UACGUAGGGGGCAAGCGUUGUCCGGAAUCAUUGGGCGUAAAGAGCGCGUAGGCGGCCCUGUAAGUCCGCUGUGAAAGUCAAGGGCUCAACCCUUGAAUGCCGGUGGAUACUGCAGGGCUAGAGUCCGGAAGAGGCGAGUGGAAUUCCUGGUGUAGCGGUGAAAUGCGCAGAUAUCAGGAGGAACACCGAUGGCGAAGGCAGCUCGCGGACGUGACUGAC
rnacentral:rRNA from 1 species